GAAGGGGGCUAGCGUUGCUCGGAAUGACUGGGCGUAAAGGGCGCGCAGGCGGUUUGGACAGUCAGAUGUGAAAUUCCCGGGCUUAACCUGGGGGCUGCAUUUGAUACGUUCAGACUAGAGUGUGAAAGAGGGUUGUGGAACUCCAAGCGUAGAGGUGAAAUUCGUAGAUAUUUGGAAGAACACCGGUGGCGAAGGCGGCGACCUGGUUCACAACUGACGCUGAGGCGCGAAAGCGUGGGGAGCAAACAGGAUUAGAUACCCUGGUAGUCCACGCUGUAAACGAUGUAUGCUAGAUGUUAGGCAACCUAGUUGUUUAGUGUCGGAGCUAACGCGAUAAGCAUACCGCCUGGGGAGUACGGCCGCAAGGUUG
rnacentral:rRNA from 1 species